rnacentral:rRNA from 1 species
GAUUUACUGGGCGUAAAGCGUGUGUAGGCGGUUCGUUAAGUCGGAUGUGAAAGCCCUGGGCUCAACCUAGGAAUUGCAUUCGAUACUGGCGAGCUAGAGUACGGUAGAGGAUGGCGGAAUUCCCGGUGUAGCAGUGAAAUGCGUAGAGAUCGGGAGGAACAUCCGUGGCGAAGGCGGCCAUCUGGACCAGCACUGACACUGAGGCACGAAAGCGUGGGGAGCAAACAGG